UACAGAGGGUGCAAGCGUUAAUCGGAAUUACUGGGCGUAAAGCGUGCGCAGGCGGUUAUUUAAGUCAGGUGUGAAAGCCCUGGGCUUAACCUAGGAAUUGCGCUUGAGACUGGAUAGCUUGGAGUGCGGCAGAGGGAGGUGGAAUUCCACGUGUAGCAGUGAAAUGCGUAGAGAUGUGGAGGAACACCGAUGGCGAAGGCAGCCUCCUGGGCCAGCACUGACGCUCAUGCACGAAAGCGUGGGGAGCAAACAGG
rnacentral:rRNA from 1 species